GGCACAGCAGCUGUUCAGCCUGAGGGAUAGGGACAGAGGCAGAAGCAGGCAUGCAGGAAGCUCACCCUAGGGAGUGCCUGCAGUGAGCCAGGCACCUUAAGGAGCCUCUCCAGGGAUGCUUCCUUUGAGGACUUCUAUCCACUCCCAGAACUCACCUGACCAACUCCUGUCCUCCUCCCGCUCUUGUUCCUGGGUGAGGAAAUCAAACCCAGAGCUUCUAAGUGGAAAGCAGAGUUGGAGCAAGUGAAAAUUGCAUUUUGUAUAGGACUAAGGAAGUGGCACCUUGAGUGGUGACAGGGCUGACGUUGGAGAUGACGUGAGACCAGGAGAACAAUGGCGCUGUGAACAGGAAAGAAAAGUGGGAGCUUCAGGGAACAGAAAAUUCAAGUUUCACCUCGUAGCAUGUUGUGGUCAGGUAUCAAGUCCACACACACACACCUCUGCUCUGGCCAAGCUGGUUGCUUUGGGACAAUGUGGAGAACCCACUGGAAUUCCAACUAAAGUAUUCACGUUGAGGCCCACCUCUGUGUUCUGGGUUCAGAUCCUGCUGCUACUGUACUCUGACAAAUUAUAUAAUUCUCUGAACCUCAAUUUUUCAUCUGUAAAUUGAGGAUAUUGAAUAAGGUAGUAAGACUUGGGCGAUUGGAUUAAGAAAUAAAUAUUGGCUAACCUAAUGAAUAAAUAAGACGGCUGCUAUA
ensembl:lincRNA 2310043L19Rik RIKEN cDNA 2310043L19 gene